rnacentral:rRNA from 1 species
UAUGAACGCUGGCGGCGUGCCUAAUACAUGCAAGUCGAGCGAACAGAUGAGGAGCUUGCUCCUCUGACGUUAGCGGCGGACGGGUGAGUAACACGUGGAUAACCUACCUAUAAGACUGGGAUAACUUCGGGAAACCGGAGCUAAUACCGGAUAAUAUAUUGAACCGCAUGGUUCAAUAGUGAAAGACGGUUUUGCUGUCACUUAUAGAUGGAUCCGCGCCGCAUUAGCUAGUUGGUAAGGUAACGGCUUACCAAGGCAACGAUGCGUAGCCGACCUGAGAGGGUGAUCGGCCACACUGGAACUGAGACACGGUCCAGACUCCUACGGGAGGCAGCAGUAGGGAAUCUUCCGCAAUGGGCGAAAGCCUGACGGAGCAACGCCGCGUGAGUGAUGAAGGUCUUCGGAUCGUAAAACUCUGUUAUUCGGGAAGAACAAAUGUGUAAGUAACUAUGCACGUCUUGACGGUACCUAAUCAGAAAGCCACGGCUAACUACGUG